AGAGUUUGAUCCUGGCUCAGGACGAACGCUGGCGGCGUGCUUAACACAUGCAAGUGGAGCGACGAACCAGGGCUUGCCCUGGGGCAGAGCCGCGAACGGGUGAGUAACACGUGGGUUACCUGCCUCGAUGACCGGGACAACCCAAGGAAACUCGGGCUAAUACCGGAUGUGCCCGCAAGGGGAAAGGAAGCUUCGGCCUCCGCAUCGAGAUGGGCCCGCGGCCCAUUAGCUUGUUGGUGAGGUAAGGGCUCACCAAGGCUCCGAUGGGUAGCUGGUCUGAGAGGACGAUCAGCCACACUGGGACUGAGACACGGCCCAGACUCCUACGGGAGGCAGCAGUGGGGAAUCUUGCGCAAUGCGCGAAAGCGUGACGCAGCAACGCCGCGUGGGGGAAGAAGGCUUUCGGGUUGUAAACCCCUUUCAGUUGGGACGAAGCUCUGCCGGUGAAUAGCCGGUCGGAGUGACGGUACCUUCACAAGAAGCACCGGCUAACUACGUGCCAGCAGCCGCGGUAAUACGUAGGGUGCAAGCGUUGUCCGGAAUUAUUGGGCGUAAAGAGCGUGUAGGCGGCCCGAUUAGUCCGCUGUGAAAGUCCAGGGCUCAACCCUGGAAAGCCGGUGGAUACUGUCGGGCUAGAGUCCGGAAGGGGCGAGUGGAAUUCCUGGUGUAGCGGUGAAAUGCGCAGAUAUCAGGAGGAACACCAAUGGCGAAGGCAGCUCGCUGGGACGUGACUGACGCUGAGACGCGAAAGCGUGGGGAGCAAACAGGAUUAGAUACCCCAGUAGUCC
rnacentral:rRNA from 1 species